GCGCAUGGUAAAAAUCCAGUCCUUUUAUGUGUGGGCACAGCAAGGGAUUAUAUGGGGUUUUGACUAAUGUGAGAUGAGUAGCAAGCUCAAACUAGAUGUUAUUAAUAUGGGAAAGACUAUGCUAACACCUAAGUGGAUAUUGUACUGGAUGGAAAGUGAGAGUGGUACCAUGCAACUUGAACAGCGAAGAAAAAAAAGCAAUCUCUAGUGGCACUAUCAGUAAAGUUAUUUCUUACUUUGGACAAAAGAAAAACCAGGAGUGGGAACUCCAACUACAGGAGCCUAUGUUUUUUUCAUCUUUACAUGGCCCACUUCACACCAGGUUGCGCACUCUGAUUCUUCUGGAUGUGUGGUUUCUGUUGACCUUUUAUUCAUGCCUGCCAACACCAGCUUCCUUUCAAAGAAGCGAAAUGCUGAUCAGGACAAAUUUAGAUUUUCACAAUGUAAAAUUACCUUA